rnacentral:rRNA from 1 species
UUGGAACUGAGGACACCGUCCAAUCCUACGAGCAGCAUGGCAUUGCCCAUGCAAGCUGAUGCAGCACGCCCUUACGAUGAGUCUUCGAUCGUAAAGUCGUUGCAAGGAGAUAUGACGUACCUGGGAGGAGGCCGGCUAACUACGUGGCAGCAGCGCGUAUACGUAGGGGGCUAGCGUUAUCGGAUUUACUGGGCGUAAAGGUGCGUAGGUGGUCCUUCAAGUCGUGGUAAAGGCUACGGCUCAACCGUAGUAAGCCGCCGAAACUGGAGGACUUGAGUGCAGGAGAGGAAAGUGGAAUUCCCAGUGUAGCGGUGAAAUGCGUAGAUAUUGGGAGGAACACCAGUAGCGAAGGCGGCUUUCUGGACUGCAACUGACACUGAGGCACGAAAGCGUGGGUAGCAAACAGGAUUAGAUACCCUGGUAGUCCACGCUGUAAACGAUGAGUACUAGGUGUCGGGGGUUACCCCCCUCGGUGCCGCAGCUAACGCAUUAAGUACUCCGCCUGGGGAGUACGCACGCAAGUGUGAAACUCAAAGGAAUUGACGGGGACCCGCACAAGUAGCGGAGCAUGUGGUUUAAUUCGAAGCAACGCGAAGAACCUUACCUAAGCUUGACAUCCCUCGGACAGGUGUUUAAUCACACCCUUCCUUCGGGACUGAGGUGACAGGUGGUGCAUGGUUGUCGUCAGCUCGUGUCGUGAGAUGUCGGGUUAAGUCCCGCAACGAGCGCAACCCUUGUCUUUAGUUGCCAGCAUUCAGUUGGGCACUCUAGAGAGACUGCCAGGGAUAACCUGGAGGAAGGUGGGGAUGACGUCAAAUCAUCAUGCCCCUUAUGCUUAGGGCUACACACGUGCUACAAUGGGUGGUACAGAGGGUUGCCAAACCGUGAGGUGGAGCCAAUCCCUUAAAGCCAUUCUCAGUUCGGAUUGUAGGCUGAAACUCGCCUACAUGAAGCUGGAGUUACUAGUAAUCGCAGAUCAGAAUGCUGCGGUGAAUGCGUUCCCGGGUCUUGUACACACCGCCCGUCACACCACGGGAGUCGGAAACACCCGAAGCCGAUUAUCCAACCGCAAGGAGGAAGUCGUCGAAGGUGGCGUCGAUAACUGGGGUGAAGUCGUAACAAGGUAGCCGUAUCGGAAGGUGCGGUUGGAACACCUCCUUC